rnacentral:rRNA from 1 species
AGCGGCAUCCGGGUGAGUAACGCGUGGGCAACCUGCCUCGAAGUCUGGGAUAACCCGGGGAAACCUGGGCUAAUACCGGAUGAGCCCACGAGGUCUUCGGGCCUCGCGGGAAAAGAUGGCCUCUGCUUGCAAGCUAUCGCUACGAGAUGGGCCCGCGUCCCAUUAGCUAGUUGGCGAGGUAACGGCUCACCAAGGCUCCGAUGGGUAGCUGGUCUGAGAGGACGAUCAGCCACACUGGGACUGAGACACGGCCCAGACUCCUACGGGAGGCAGCAGUCGGGAAUCUUGGGCAAUGGGCGCAAGCCUGACCCAGCGACGCCGCGUGAGGGAUGAAGGCCUUCGGGUCGUAAACCUCUGUCAGGAGGGAAGAAUGGCGGUGGGGUGAAUAAUCUCGCUGUCUGACGGUACCUCCGAAGGAAGCGCCGGCUAACUCCGUGCCAGCAGCCGCGGUAAUACGGAGGGCGCAAGCGUUGUUCGGAAUCACUGGGCGUAAAGCGCGUGUAGGCGGCUUGGCAAGUCGGAUGUGAAAUCCCGAGGCUCAACCUCGGAACUGCACUCGAAACUGCCUGGCUCGAGUCCCGGAGAGGGUGGCGGAAUUCCCGGUGUAGGGGUGAAAUCCGUAGAUAUCGGGAGGAACACCAGUGGCGAAAGCGGCCACCUGGACGGUGACUGACGCUGAGACGCGAAAGCGUGGGGAGCAAACAGGAUUAGAUACCCUGGUAGUCCACGC